AUGCUGAGCUCAGUCUGCGUCUCCUCGUUCCGCGGGCGCCAGGGGGCCAGCAAACAGCAGCCGGCGCCUCCGCCGCAGCCGCCCGAGUCCCCGCCGCCGUCGCCGCAGCAGCUAGAGCCGCAACCGCAGUCGCCGGAGCAGCCCGGCCCCGCCGCGUCCCCGGCGGGCCCCCCGGCACCCCGCGGGCCCGGGGGCCGGCACGCCGAGCCAUGCCCCGGGCUGCCGGCGGCGGCCAUGGGGCGGCACGGCGGCGGCGGCGGCGACAGCGGCAAGAUCGUGAUCAACGUGGGCGGCGUGCGCCAUGAGACGUACCGGUCGACGCUGCGCACCCUGCCGGGGACGCGGCUGGCCGGUCUGACCGAGCCCGAGGCGGCGGCGCGCUUCGACUACGACCCCGGCGCCGACGAGUUCUUCUUCGACCGGCACCCGGGCGUCUUCGCCUACGUGCUCAACUACUACCGCACGGGCAAGCUGCACUGCCCGGCCGACGUGUGCGGGCCGCUCUUCGAGGAGGAGCUGGGCUUCUGGGGCAUCGACGAGACCGACGUGGAGGCCUGCUGCUGGAUGACCUACCGGCAGCACCGCGACGCCGAGGAGGCGCUCGACUCCUUCGAGGCGCCGGACUCCUCGGGCUCCGCCAACGCCGGGGGCGCGGCGGGCGCGGGCGACGCGGGCCUGGACGACGAGGCGGGCGCGGGCGGCGGCGGCCUGGAUGGCGCGGGCGGCGAGCUCAAGCGCCUCUGCUUCCAGGACGCGGGCGGCGCCGGGGGCCCGCCGGGGGGCGCGGGCGGCGCGGGCGGCACGUGGUGGCGCCGCUGGCAGCCCCGAGUGUGGGCGCUCUUCGAGGACCCCUACUCAUCGCGGGCAGCCAGGUAUGUGGCCUUCGCCUCGCUGUUCUUCAUCCUCAUCUCCAUCACCACCUUCUGCCUGGAGACCCACGAGGGUUUCAUCCACAUCAGCAACAAGACGGUGACACAGGCCUCACCCAUCCCGGGGGCUCCCCCAGAAAACAUCACCAAUGUGGAGGUGGAGACGGAGCCCUUCCUCACCUAUGUGGAGGGCGUGUGCGUGGUGUGGUUCACCUUCGAGUUCCUCAUGCGGAUCACCUUCUGCCCGGACAAGGUGGAGUUCCUCAAGAGCAGCCUCAACAUCAUCGACUGCGUGGCCAUCCUCCCCUUCUACCUGGAGGUCGGCCUGUCCGGCCUCAGCUCUAAGGCCGCCAAGGACGUGCUGGGCUUUCUGCGCGUCGUCCGCUUUGUCCGCAUCCUGCGGAUCUUCAAGCUCACCCGGCACUUCGUGGGGCUGCGCGUGCUGGGCCACACGCUCCGCGCCAGCACCAACGAGUUUUUGCUUCUCAUCAUCUUCCUGGCCCUGGGCGUCCUCAUCUUUGCCACCAUGAUCUACUACGCCGAGCGCAUUGGCGCCGACCCCGAUGAUAUCCUGGGGUCGAACCACACCUACUUCAAGAACAUCCCCAUCGGCUUCUGGUGGGCCGUGGUCACCAUGACAACCCUGGGCUAUGGGGACAUGUACCCCAAGACGUGGUCAGGGAUGCUGGUCGGGGCGCUCUGCGCCCUGGCGGGGGUGCUGACCAUUGCCAUGCCGGUGCCCGUCAUCGUCAACAACUUUGGCAUGUACUACUCGCUGGCCAUGGCCAAGCAGAAGCUGCCCAAGAAAAAGAACAAACACAUCCCUCGCCCGCCACAGCCCGGCUCACCCAACUACUGCAAGCCAGACCCGCCACCCCCGCCACCGCCGCCCCCACACCACGGCAGCGGCAGCCUCAGCCCCCCGCCCCCCAUCACCCCGCCCUCCAUGGGGGUCACUGUGGCCGGGGCCUACCCUCCAGGGCCUCACACACACCCUGGGCUGCUCAGGGGGGGCGCGGGGGGACUGGGCAUCAUGGGGCUACCUCCACUGCCAGCUCCUGGUGAACCCUGUCCCCUGGCUCAGGAAGAAGUGAUUGAAAUCAACAGGGCAGACCCCCGCCCCAAUGGGGAUCCUGCAGCAGCUGCGCUGGCCCAUGAGGACUGUCCUGCCAUAGACCAGCCCGCCAUGUCCCCAGAGGACAAGAGCCCCAUCACGCCUGGGAGCCGGGGCCGCUACAGCCGAGACCGGGCCUGCUUCCUCCUCACUGACUACGCCCCAUCGCCUGAUGGCUCCAUCCGGAAAGCCACCGGUGCUCCCCCACUGCCCCCCCCAGACUGGCAUAAGCCAGCCCCCCCGAGCUUCUUACCCGACCUCAACGCCAACGCUGCGGCCUGGAUAGCCCCCUAGUGGACCAACCCCUCCCCGGGCUCUUGUCACCGCCUGAGACCUCGCGAGACCCUCGGGUCCCCCCUGUCCCUUUCCCCCAGGUUACGAGAAAUCCCGCAGCCUGAGCAGUAUCGCGGGCCUGAGCGGGGUGUCCCUGCGCCUGGCGCCCCUUGCCACCCCUCCCGGCUCCCCCCGGGCCGCCCGCCGCGCGCCCCCAACCCUGCCCUCCAUCCUUUAGCUCCCCUCCCCCGGUGGGAGGGGGGCAGGGACGGGGAAGAAGGUCUGAGGAGCUGGGGGUGGGGGAAAAGUUUGUUUUUUAAAAAAGAAAAAUCCAAAAGUCAUUACUAAUAUGCAACAGAGAAGAUGAUGCCAGCAGACACCCCCUGGCCUCUCACCCCUACCUAGCCCCCCAUGGAGGGGAAGGGCCUGACUCCACCCCCUCCAACUUCCCCCUCCCCCCAAAAAUGCCUUCUCAGGUCUCCAUGAGCCAUAGGGCACCCCACCCAUCAACUCGUGUAAAUAAGCCCAAAUGUUGCCAAUUCCAUCUUGGGGCACUCCCCCACACUCCGCAUGCCCCCCCCCACUCCCAAACCUGGACCCCCUGCUCCGACUCCACCUCAGCAAUAAGCCAGGGGCUGCAUGCCUGUGAGUUCCAGGGUUGGGGGCUGGGACCCGGGGGUGAGGCUGGGCCCCAUCCCCUCCUCUGCACCCGGGGCCCCAGACAUCACAGCCACGCAGGAAACACAAACACAAGAAGAUGCGGUCCCAAGCCACGUGGGAGCUCAAGUGGGCCGAUGAGGCAGGAGCGGCCGGGCUGCCCCCCAGCUGCCCCCCCAGGAUCCUGCUGGUGGGUCCCACCCUGGCACCCCCACUUCCCCCGGGGUCUGUGAGGACUUAGAUUGUCGUCCAGAAUUCAGGGUGGGUGUGACCCCAGCACAAUUCCUCUCCCCUCCUCGCCAUUCCUAGGACUUGAGACCUGCACCCAGAAUUCCUGAGAUGGACCCUGGCACCCCGCAACCCCAGCCUCCCCCGCGGCGCACGGAUGCUUCCUGGCCCUCCUGAGGCCCCCCCCCACUCCCCUGGGCCGCACCCCAAUAUUUUCACACCUCCAAGAUGUGACCCAGCUCUUACUUAGCUCAGUUUCAGCCUUUGGGAUGCUCCAAUUCCUUCCCCCACUCUUGACAUUUCCGAAACACCCCCAAAUCCUCAGAUGGGCCCCCAAAUCCAUAACAUCGGACUCCCUGGAUGUUAGGACUUGUGGCCUACCUGCGAGUCUGGGGAGCCAGACCCGCCCCAGCGCCCCCCUCUUCCGCCUAGGCCUGCCCCACUCUGCCCUGACCCUGAGGCCGUGCCCCAAAGGGACCCCCUCUUGCCACAGUGCUCCCCCCUCCCGUGGGGCUCGUGGCCCCAGAACCGAGCAGAGUCAGCCUUGUCGGGGUGGAAAGCUUUAAGUUUCCACUCAAAACAGGCAAUGGUAGAGGCUGUGCCAGAAUGUGGGGCACUGGGCUAACAAGUGCAGGGAGACAGACCCCCAGCUCUGGAUGAGGUCCCAGCAGCCCUAACUUGCCCGGCCUCUGGACCUGGGUGUUAAAUCUGUUUCUCAACGUCCCGUCCUGGCUCAAAGGAUGCGCUACCUCCCCCAGGCCCAGUGUCCACAUAGGUCCCAGAAUCCUUAGCGGACCCCUUUUGGAGCUGGGCCCCCCCCCAAUUAACAACCUCCCCCCACAGCCCCCUGAGGGUGGGCGUGAUCCUUGAUGCAACGAUUCCUAUGCAAGGGGCAUUUUGAGUCCCCCCAUCCUUCCCUG